rnacentral:rRNA from 1 species
GAAUUCGCCCUUAGAGUUUGAUCCUGGCUCAGGACGAACGCUGGCGGCGCGCCUAACACAUGCAAGUCGAACGGAGCUUAGAGAGCUUGCUUUUUAAGCUUAGUGGCGAACGGGUGAGUAACGCGUGAGUAACCUGCCCUAGAGUGGGGGACAACAGUUGGAAACGACUGCUAAUACCGCAUAAGCCCACGGUGCCGCAUGACACUGAGGGAAAAGGAUUUAUUCGCUUUAGGAUGGACUCGCGUCCAAUUAGCUAGUUGGUGAGGUAACGGCCCACCAAGGCGACGAUUGGUAGCCGGACUGAGAGGUUGAACGGCCACAUUGGGACUGAGACACGGCCCAGACUCCUACGGGAGGCAGCAGUGGGGGAUAUUGCACAAUGGGGGAAACCCUGAUGCAGCGACGCCGCGUGGAGGAAGAAGGUUUUCGGAUUGUAAACUCCUGUCGUUAGGGACGAUAAUGACGGUACCUAACAAGAAAGCACCGGCUAACUACGUGCCAGCAGCCGCGGUAAAACGUAGGGUGCAAGCGUUGUCCGGAAUUACUGGGUGUAAAGGGAGCGCAGGCGGGAAGACAAGUUGGAAGUGAAAACCAUGGGCUCAACCCAUGAAUUGCUUUCAAAACUGUUUUUCUUGAGUAGUGCAGAGGUAGAUGGAAUUCCCGGUGUAGCGGUGGAAUGCGUAGAUAUCGGGAGGAACACCAGUGGCGAAGGCGGUCUACUGGGCACCAACUGACGCUGAGGCUCGAAAGCAUGGGUAGCAAACAGGAUUAGAUACCCUGGUAGUCCAUGCCGUAAACGAUGA